UGCCGACCGGGUGUCUGCACUAAGUUGGCAUGAAUAUGGUGACCUCCUGGGAUUGAGGGGCCACCAGGUUGCCUAAGGAUGGGUGGACUGGCCCAGAUCAGAAAGGGAACAGGUCAGAACUCCCAUACCAACUGGUAGCAGGACUGUGCCUGGGAA
rnacentral:sRNA from 1 species